rnacentral:rRNA from 1 species
CAGCGAGUCUUCCUUGUCCGAAAGGUCCGGGUAAUCUUGUAAAUGUGUGUCGUGAUAGGGAUAGAUUAUUGCAAUUAUUAAUCUUGAACGAGGAAUUCCUAGUAAAUGCGAGUCAUCAGCUCGCGUUGAUUACGUCCCUGCCCUUUGUACACACCGCCCGUCGCACCUACCGAUUGAAUGAUUCGGUGAAACUUUCGGACCGUGGACAGGACGCCUUCUGGCGACUUGACCGUGGGAAGUUAUUUAAACCUCAUCAUUUAGAGGAAGGUGAAGUCGUAACAAGGUUUCCGUAGGUGAACCUGCGGAAGGAUCA